GCCAUACAGAGCAGUGCUGCCCUGCUCGAAUUUGCCACCUCCCUGCCUGGAUUUGAGGGCUGAACAUCAGAGAGGCAAGAGAGCUGUGGUGUCGGGACGGGCUCCAGGACACCGAGCGCCUGGGCUAUAGGAACAUGGCCAGGAUGUGGGGAGAUCUCAGCCGCUCAGCAGAAUGUGGGAGAGCCGAGUGCUGAUGGGCUAGAGGUGUCCCAUGAGUCGCUGUACAGCAGGUGCAGUGUCGGCAGUCACCAUGGACCAAACCCUGCGCUCCAGACAACCCA